rfam:Gossypium raimondii Chr04_contig_35, whole genome shotgun sequence.
UAUUAAAAUUUUCAUCUAUUUCUACUGUUAAAAACUGAUGUAGUUGAUAGAAUGACUAGACAGCUACAUGUGAUGUGUCACAUAUACCUUAUGCUGGCAUACAAAGACCAAUUUUUAACAGUAGAAAUGAACAGAAUUUCAAUA